rnacentral:rRNA from 1 species
GAUGAACGCUAGCGGCAGGCCUAAUAUAUGCAAGUCGAGGGGUAGAAGAGGCUUGCUUCUUUGAGACCGGCGCACGGGUGCGUAACGCGUAUGCAACCUACCUUCAUCUGGGGGAUAGCCCGGAGAAAUCCGGAUUAAUACCGCAUAAAAUCACAGGAUGGCAUUAUCCAAUGAUCAAACAUUUAUGGGAUGGAGAUGGGCAUGCGUGUCAUUAGCUAGUUGGCGGGGUAACGGCCCACCAAGGCGACGAUGACUAGGGGAUCUGAGAGGAUGGCCCCCCACACUGGUACUGAGACACGGACCAGACUCCUACGGGAGGCAGCAGUAAGGAAUAUUGGUCAAUGGAGGCAACUCUGAACCAGCCAUGCCGCGUGCAGGAAGACUGCCCUAUGGGUUGUAAACUGCUUUUAUUCGGGAAUAAACCUUAUUACGUGUAAUAAGCUGAAUGUACCGAAGGAAUAAGGAUCGGCUAACUCCGUGCCAGCCGCCGCGGUAAUAC